GACGAACGCUGGCGGCGUGCCUAAUACAUGCAAGUAGAACGCUGAAGGAGGAGCUUGCUUCUCUGGAUGAGUUGCGAACGGGUGAGUAACGCGUAGGUAACCUGCCUGGUAGCGGGGGAUAACUAUUGGAAACGAUAGCUAAUACCGCAUAAUAGUAGAUGUUGCAUGACAUUUGCUUAAAAGGUGCAAUUGCAUCACUACCAGAUGGACCUGCGUUGUAUUAGCUAGUUGGUGAGGUAACGGCUCACCAAGGCAACGAUACAUAGCCGACCUGAGAGGGUGAUCGGCCACACUGGGACUGAGACACGGCCCAGACUCCUACGGGAGGCAGCAGUAGGGAAUCUUCGGCAAUGGACGGAAGUCUGACCGAGCAACGCCGCGUGAGUGAAGAAGGUUUUCGGAUCGUAAAGCUCUGUUAUAAGAGAAGAACGAGUGUGAGAGUGGAAAGUUCACACUGUGACGGUAUCUUACCAGAAAGGGACGGCUAACUACGUG
rnacentral:rRNA from 1 species